rnacentral:rRNA from 1 species
UACGUAGGGCGCAAGCGUUGUCCGGAAUUAUUGGGCGUAAAGAGCUCGUAGGCGGCUUGUUGCGUCGGUUGUGAAAGCCCGGGGCUUAACCCCGGGUCUGCAGUCGAUACGGGCAGGCUGGAGUUCGGUAGGGGAGACGUGGAAUUCCUGGUGUAGCGGUGAAAGUGCGCAGAUAUCGGGAGGAACACCGGUGGCGAAGGCGGUCUCUGGGCCUGUACUGACGCUGAGGAGCGAAAGCGUGGGGAGCGAACAGG